rnacentral:rRNA from 1 species
UUCAACGGAGAGUUUGAUCCUGGCUCAGGACGAACGCUGGCGGCGUGCUUAACACAUGCAAGUCGAACGGUGAAGGGAGCUUGCUCCUGGAUCAGUGGCGAACGGGUGAGUAACACGUGAGCAACCUACCCUUGACUCUGGGAUAACAGUUGGAAACAGCUGCUAAUACCGGAUACGACCCCGGCAGGCAUCUACCGGGGUGGAAAGCUCCGACGGUCAAGGAUGGGCUCGCGGCCUAUCAGCUUGUUGGUGGGGUAACGGCCCACCAAGGCGACGACGGGUAGCCGGCCUGAGAGGGCGACCGGCCACACUGGGACUGAGAUACGGCCCAGACUCCUACGGGAGGCAGCAGUGGGGAAUAU